rnacentral:rRNA from 1 species
GACGUAGGGGGCGAGCGUUGUCCGGAUUUAUUGGGCGUAAAGAGCGCGUAGGCGGCCCGUUAAGUCGGAUGUGAAAACCCGUGGCUCAACCACGGGCCUGCAUCCGAUACUGGCGGGCUCGAGGCAGGCAGGGGAGAUCGGAAUUCCUGGUGUAGCGGUGAAAUGCGCAGAUAUCAGGAGGAACACCGGUGGCGAAGGCGGAUCUCUGGGCCUGUCCUGACGCUGAGGCGCGAAAGCCGGGGGAGCGAACGGG